GGCUGGCAGGACAUGAGAAUAAAUAGGAUGGGGAGCACUUUGCAAAUAACCCUUCAGACUCCACAUGCCCUGAACACCCCUUUUAUCUAACCUGAAAUUUAACCUGUCCCAAAUCUAAACAAUUCAUCCCCCCAACCUUGUCACAUUAAGCACUACUCACCCUGUCACUAUCAGUUCCCUCACUCUCUCACACUGUCACUUUCACCACCCCUCAAAGUUCCACGUUCACCUCCACAUGUG